AGAGGUUUACCCUUUGAUAAGGAACAGGUCAUUCACAGGCAUGAACAUGACAUAGUAUUGUGGUUUCCAAUGAAAAUACUGCAAGCCUGUCUGGAAUGUGCAGGUUGUAUUCCAGCCUUGCCAGAGCGUUUCUGAGACCCAGAGACAGAGCAGUCCCUGAGGGAGCUCCUGCACCUCCCAGCUGAGAACAAUUAUGUCCUUGUUCCUGUCAGGACCUUCUAGAUGUUAUUGGAAUGUGACUACAGAGAAAAAUGUUCUUUUCUAAUGACUCGGUUAUGGACUUCUGAUCAGCCUUGGAUUUCUAGGAAUGCUGCAGCAUGGCUUCAUUUGGGAAUGAGAUGGAAAGGUGGACUCACGGGCAAGGUGGCAGAAGUGGGGAGGUGGUAGAACCUGUGAUGUGCCCUGGAAAUGAUGAUCAUCUUGUGCCAGUGAAGGCGAUUGGCAGCCCAGACCAUGCCCUGCAGCUCCCCAGAAGAGCAGACUCUGCCUACAGCUCUUUCUCAGGGGGCUCAGAGUGUCCCCCCCGCCCGUGCUGUGGGGAAUGUUGCCGUUUGCCCUACAUGGACUCGGAAUACGUCAGGGGGAUUUACAACCUCAGUGCUGCACCCCCUGAGCUCAGAGCCCUGCAGCCACACAGGGCAGCAGGGCUGGGCACCCCUCCCAGCUCUCACAGCCCCAGCCCCAGCCUCCCCCAUCGCUGUGGAACCACUCCCACCCCAGGGACUUCAAACCAGGGCCCUCCACCCCUGGCAGCUCCUCCACCUUCCCCUCCCACGAGACUCCACAGCUCCAGCAUCACCAGGCACCGUGAACACUCAAGAGGGGGACACAGCUCUGGAGGGCACAGUGUGUGUAAGGUGCAGGUGCAGCCAGCCCCUGGUGUGCAGGACAAUGAGAAAAGUCAUGGAAAUGGCCCAGAAGAAUGUCCUGAAUCUGAACAUGAAGCCAAACCGAGGAGCAAAGAAUCUACCUCUGAGGGACACCAAGUCCUGACCAGGAGCAGGGACAGCACAAACGACCCAGAUGACAUCACAUCUAAGAAACUGGAGCUCAUGGGCAGCCUGCGGGCCAGGCUGCAGAGCCUGUGGGAGGAGCGGGAGCUGGUCCUGCAGGAAUCCAGGGAAUGCGCCGAGCGCGGCCGGGCACUGGAGGCCACGGUGCGGGACCUGUGCAAGCCCAACGAGUUCCAGCGCUACCUGAUGUUCAUCGGGGACCUGGAGAAGGUGGUGAACCUCCUCCUGUGCCUGUCCAGCCGCCUGGCCCGGGUCCAGAACGCCAUGAGCAGGAUGGACGGCAGCACAGACGCGGAGGAGAAGCACUCGCUGAGCGAGCGGCACGAGCUCCUGUCUCGGCAGCGGGAGGACGCCAAGGACCUGAAGGACAACCUGGAUCGCAGGGAACAGGUGGUCUCUGGGAUCCUGGCCAAAUACCUGACAGAGCAGCAGCUCCAGGACUAUCGACACUUUGUUCAGGUCAAGACCUCCUUGCUGAUUGAACAGAAGGACCUCGAGGAGCAGAUUAAGUUUUUCAAAGAACAGUUAGAAACUCUUGAGCAAAGUGUGCCCCUCUGACACCCACCCCAGACUCUGGUGGUUGGGACCUGUCCCUGGAAAUCCACAGGAGCCCACAGCACAGGGCUCACUUUGGUGAGCUCCUCCAGCCCUGCUGGUGCCACAGCAUUGGCAGGUGCUCAGAUGCUCUGGGGGUGCUCCAGGCACACCCUGGACGUGUGUUCCACCUGGACAGGCCAGCUGGCAGCGUCUCACAGUGUGCAGCAAACUGCCUUUGGGACGUGACUGACAGGAUGUGUUGCUCCUGUUAACUCGGAGUGUAUUUGCCCUUGCUGCCUGUCCAUCUGUUCCUAGAUGGACACAAUCUCAAUAAAAGAACUGUACAGAAAUUUGCCUCUUGUGGGUGGGCUGAAUGUUUGAAAUGAAAAGCCCUGUGGGUGCUCAGAUGUGAGUGGGGGAUUGCACAGAGCCAUAGGAAAUGUUCUGGACCAUUGCAGGGAAACUCCUGCACUCAUCUCUGCUGUUUAGAUGUGUGACACAGUAAAACCACACUGUGAUGGAAGAAAAGAAUUACUGCCUUUCUUGGCAGUUGCCAUCCCUGAGUCUUUCCUGGCUCUGUGCAAUCCUGGUAGGCUGUUCAGAGGAGGUCAGAAAAAGAGUGGUCCUCACCAGCAUCCAAGAGCCAAUCUGUGAUGGAGCCAGCUUAAAUGAACAGUUUUGGGAAUCAUAAACUCUGAGCUUAUUCCUGCAUAGUCAUUUGCAAAGUCCUUGCUGUGCUUUUGAAGGGCUUGGUUUUCAAGUAGCACGUUCAGGAGGUUGUUUUUGGGUAGUUUUCGAUUGUCAGCAUGCACAAGAAGCCUGAAUGAGGGGGAAGAGCUCUGCUGCAGCGUGGGGCGGGUGGGAGCCCUGGAGGAGGUUACUCUGUUUCAGUGAGACUUUAUAUAAAUCCCUUGGCAAACAUCUUUUAAACAAAUGUGUGUUGAGUCAAAGCAGUGAUGUUGCUGUAUUUAAAAUCUGAGUGUGUUCUGCUUGUUUGUAAGGAUUCAGAGAGAACAAUAUUCCAUCUCAGCUACAUACCUAGACCAUGAAUAAGGCAGCCACUAAUUGAACUCAGCUUUCUUCCACAGCCAGAAUAGAUGUUCAUUGUCCCAGGAUGUUGGGCUUUACCAAGAAAUGUUUUACUAGUGGUGUGUGUCCUGACUACAGUAAGUAUCAUCACCCCUGACAGAAGCUGUUCCUGAGGCAUCUUCUCCUUUGGAAUUGCAUUUCACUGGGCACAAGAACUCCAGGAGCACAGAGACCAAGCUGCCAUGUGGUUAUUGCCUUAAUACCUGGGGGAAAAUGGCCAGACACUGCAGAUCCUGUGAGUAGAUCUGCUCAGUGGUUCUCAGAAGGCCCUAAAGAUAGGCUUUUAAUAUGCAAAUCUGAAAGCUGCCUUUUGAAAAUGCCUUUAAAAUAACAGAAGUGAUGCUAACAGAGUCAGUGGAGAAUUUUAAAACACAUAAGCGAUGUUAAAUGAGCUGUUUGCAUGGUUUGAGAAGCCUGACUCAAAGGUGCAGUUUACUCCUGUUAUUCUUAGUUGAGGGAAAACCACCUGAUUGGAAAUAACUAUUGGGUAACAGAGCUUGCCUUUAAGGGGAAGAAUAGACCUACCCUGUUUAGCUUCUUAUCUUUUCAGGGGUUAGUGUCAUGGGAGGGUGACUGCUGCCCCUUCCACAUCAGCAUUCACGGGUAUGCUGCAAAGAGCAACCUUAGAAAGAACUUGUGCUCUGUCUUCAAACAGUUCACAUCUCUUAACUCCUGUUACUGUUAGAACUGUGAGUCCCAGGCAAAGUGGGAAAUGGACACAGUGAUGGCACCAGAACCUCUUUGUUGGCAAGCAGAGACCCUCUCUCUGAAGCAGUGGCAGAUCUGGAUUGUCAGAACUUACAAACUGAGCUUGUUUGUGGGGCUGGCAGGACUCUGUCCCAGUGAUGGAGGUGCUGAAUGUCCUGUGGCUCAGCCAGUUUUACACAGGCUUUUUCCCAACUUCAGGCCGUGUGGUUUAGAAGUCAAGAUGGCCAGAAAUGCAGAGCAUCUUUGUGUUUACAACACUGUGAUCUCACACUGCUCAGAGAGGUUUUUCUGACCCUUUAUCAUCAGAAGACAAAUUUAAGAGCUGAACUGUAAGUAGCAGUAACUGGUGGUCUUCCUGGGGAAGCAAAUCUUGCAAAUGUAAGG